GUAGAUGAUGUUGCAAUCACUAAGGCUUUGGGGUUGCACAAGAAUAAGAAACGUUAAUGGGUUAUUCUAAAACUUAUGCAGAUUGUGAUGGUGGGCGUGGAUUGAUAAGCUAAGCUCGGGUAUUUUAAUAGCAUGAUAAAAGCUUUUGUUACUGGGUAUAAGGUGAGGAAGAAGAACCAAAAGAUCAAUGGAAGGGAAGUAGAAGAAGAAAGAAAAGAAAGAAGGGGAAAGAGAGAUAUCGGGCCAAACCAAUAUUGAAACAAGGAGAAAUUGAAAAACUGAUUGAUCCAAAGCUGGGAGGGGCCUAUGAUGUUACUCAGCUGAAAAUACUUGCCUUUGCUGCAUCACUUUGCAUAAGGUCACUCACAAAAUGGUGGCCUACCAUCACCAAGGUAUUAAAAAAACCCUUUUAAUGACAUA